AAGUCGUAACAAGGUCUCCGUUGGUGAACCAGCGGAGGGAUCAUUACAGAGUUGCAAAACUCCAACCCCUGUGAACCUUACCUUUACUGUUGCUUCGGCGGCGCCCGUCGCCGCCGGAGGUUCAAAACCCUGAAUUUUAGUGUAUCUCUGAGUACGAAAAGAACCUGAAAAAUUAAAACUUUCAACAACGGAUCUCUUGGUUCUG
rnacentral:misc_RNA from 1 species